GUGGGGAAUUUUGGACAAUGGGCGCAAGCCUGAUCCAGCAAUGCCGCGUGCAGGAAGAAGGCCUUCGGGUUGUAAACUGCUUUUGUACGGAACGAAACGGCUCUGGUUAAUACCCGGGGCUAAUGACGGUACCGUAAGAAUAAGCACCGGCUAACUACGUGCCAGCAGCCGCGGUAAUACGUAGGGUGCAAGCGUUAAUCGGAAUUACUGGGCGUAAAGCGUGCGCAGGCGGUUUUGUAAGACAGGCGUGAAAUCCCCGGGCUCAACCUGGGAAUUGCGCUUGUGACUGCAAGGCUGGAGUGCGGCAGAGGGGGAUGGAAUUCCGCGUGUAGCAGUGAAAUGCGUAGAUAUGCGGAGGAACACCGAUGGCGAAGGCAAUCCCCUGGGCCUGCACUGACGCUCAUGCACGAAAGCGUGGGGAGCAAACAGGAUUAGAUACCCGUGUAGUCC
rnacentral:rRNA from 1 species